GUGCCUGUAGCUCAGCUGGAUAGAGCGUGUGGCUACGGACCACAAGGUCUGGGGUUCGAAUCCCUACAGGCACGCCA
rnacentral:tRNA from 1 species